rnacentral:siRNA from 1 species
UGUACAACUUCAGCGAUAUGC